GACGAUGACCAAAUAACGCACAGUGUGCCAAAACUCAUCAGAUCUCGGAAGCUAAGUGAACCGGAGCCCGGAUAGUGCUUGGAUUGGGCGACCACAAUGCAUACCAGGUGUUACAGGCU
rnacentral:rRNA from 1 species